ACGCACGCUGGCGGCGUGCUUAACACCUGCAAGUCGAACGGAAAGGCCCUGCUUUUGUGGGGUGCUCGAGUGGCGAACGGGUGAGUAACACGUGAGUAACCUGCCCUUGACUUUGGGAUAACUUCAGGAAACUGGGGCUAAUACCGGAUAGGAGCUCCUGCUGCAUGGUGGGGGUUGGAAAGUUUCGGCGGUUGGGGAUGGACUCGCGGCUUAUCAGCUUGUUGGUGGGGUAGUGGCUUACCAAGGCUUUGACGGGUAGCCGGCCUGAGAGGGUGACCGGCCACAUUGGGACUGAGAUACGGCCCAGACUCCUACGGGAGGCAGCAGUGGGGAAUAUUGCACAAUGGGCGGAAGCCUGAUGCAGCAACGCCGCGUGCGGGAUGACGGCCUUCGGGUUGUAAACCGCUUUCGCCUGUGACGAAGCGUGAGUGACGGUAAUGGGUAAAGAAGCACCGGCUAACUACGCG
rnacentral:rRNA from 1 species